rnacentral:rRNA from 1 species
AGCGAACGCUGGCGGCAGGCCUAACACAUGCAAGUCGAACGGAUCCUUCGGGAUUAGUGGCGGACGGGUGAGUAACACGUGGGAACGUGCCCUUUGGUUCGGAACAACUCAGGGAAACUUGAGCUAAUACCGGGUGUGCCCUACGGGGGAAAGAUUUAUCGCCAUUGGAGCGGCCCGCGUCUGAUUAGCUAGUUGGUGAGGUAAAGGCUCACCAAGGCGACGAUCAGUAGCUGGUCUGAGAGGAUGAUCAGCCACACUGGGACUGAGACACGGCCCAGACUCCUACGGGAGGCAGCAGUGGGGAAUCUUGCGCAAUGGGCGAAAGCCUGACGCAGCCAUGCCGCGUGAAUGAUGAAGGUCUUAGGAUUGUAAAAUUCUUUCAGCAGGGACGAUAAUGACGGUACCUGCAGAAGAAGCCCCGGCUAACUUCGUGCCAGCCGCCGCCGUAAAAC